UGGGGAAUAUUGCACAAUGGGCGAAAGCCUGAUGCAGCAACGCCGCGUGAGUGAUGAAGGCCUUCGGGUUGUAAAGCUCUGUCUUUUGGGACGAUAAUGACGGUACCAAAGGAGGAAGCCACGGCUAACUACGUGCCAGCAGCCGCGGUAAUACGUAGGUGGCAAGCGUUGUCCGGAUUUACUGGGCGUAAAGGAUGCGUAGGCGGAUUUUUAAGUGAGAUGUGAAAACCCUAAGCUUAACUUGGGGACUGCAUUUCAUACUGGAAAUCUAGAGUGCGGGAGAGGAGAAUGGAAUUCCUAGUGUAGCGGUGAAAUGCGUAGAGAUUAGGAAGAACACCAGUGGCGAAGGCGAUUCUCUGGACCGUAACUGACGCUGAGGCAUGAAAGCGUGAGUAGCAAACAGGAUUAGAUACCCUGGUAGUCCACGCCGUAAACGAUGAGUACUAGGUGUAGGAGGUAUCGACCCCUUCUGUGCCGCAGUUAACACAAUAAGUACUCCGCCUGGGAAGUACGAUCGCAAGAUUAAAACUCAAAUGAAUUGACGGGGUCAUAGCUGUUUCCUG
rnacentral:rRNA from 1 species